GGGUCAGUUCGGCUGGAUCGGUGACAGGUGCUGCAUGGCUGUCGUCAGCUCGUGUCGUGAGAUGUUGGGUUAAGUCCCGCAACGAGCGCAACCCUUGUCCUUAGUUGCCACCAUUCAGUUGGGCACUCUAAGGAGACUGCCGGUGUUAAACCGGAGGAAGGUGGGGAUGACGUCAAGUCCUCAUGGCCCUUAUAUCCAGGGCUACACACGUGCUACAAUGGCCGGUACAAAGGGUCGCCAACCCGCGAGGGGGAGCCAAUCCCAUAAAGCCAUUCGUAGUCCGGAUCGCAGUCUGCAACUCGACUGCGUGAAGUCGGAAUCGCUAGUAAUCGUGGAUCAGAAUGUCACGGUGAAUACGUUCCCGGGUCUU
rnacentral:rRNA from 1 species